GGCCAGACUCCUACGGGAGGCAGCAGUGGGGAAUAUUGCACAAUGGGGGAAACCCUGAUGCAGCGACGCCGCGUGAAGGAUGAAGUAUUUCGGUAUGUAAACUUCUAUCAGCAGGGAAGAAAAUGACGGUACCUGACUAAGAAGCCCCGGCUAACUACGUGCCAGCAGCCGCGGUAAUACGUAGGGGGCAAGCGUUAUCCGGAUUUACUGGGUGUAAAGGGAGCGUAGACGGCAUGGCAAGUCAGAUGUGAAAGCCCGGGGCUCAACCCCGGGACUGCAUUUGAAACUGUCAGGCUGGAGUGCAGGAGAGGUAAGUGGAAUUCCUAGUGUAGCGGUGAAAUGCGUAGAUAUUAGGAGGAACACCAGUGGCGAAGGCGGCUUACUGGACUGUAACUGACGUUGAGGCUCGAAAGCGUGGGGAGCAAACAGGAUUAGAUACCCGCGUAA
rnacentral:rRNA from 1 species